rnacentral:lncRNA from 1 species
UUCUUCCCCAUCUCAAACCCUCAGAGACCAGAACCCCAAAACCCUAACCGCCUCUAGGCAAUUUGCACUAGAAACCCGGCGGCAACGACGCUGCCGGUCACCCCGUUAACGCCACAGAACCCCCAUCACACCCUAAAGCCAAAUCAACUAACCCCUAACCUCGAAUCAAACAGAACCUUCUUGAAUUUUCAUUUGAAUAUUCGAGCCCAGAUUCAACUCACACCAAAUCACCCCAAAUCAAUACCAAGCACUCCCCUAACAUCUCUCGUACCUAAACCAACAAGGUUUUGGUUCGAAUCUGACCUGAAAAGGUCGAACCCUAAGAUUCAACUCACACCAAAUCACCCCAAAUCAAUACCAAGCACUCCCCUAACAUCUCUCGUACCUAAACCAACAAGGUUUUGGUUCGAAUCUGACCUGACAAGGUCGAACCUAAAAGUGACUGUAUGAACCCUAGAAAAUCCAAGGUUUGGAGUCAGGCCAAGUUAAGGAAAUUGGGGCCCAAAGGACUAUAUUCUAGGUUCUCAACUGAGAACACCCCGAGUUGCCUG